AUCUGCCUGGUAGUGGGGGAUAACGUUCGGAAACGGACGCUAAUACCGCAUACGUCCUACGGGAGAAAGCAGGGGACCUUCGGGCCUUGCGCUAUCAGAUGAGCCUAGGUCGGAUUAGCUAGUUGGUGAGGUAAUGGCUCACCAAGGCGACGAUCCGUAACUGGUCUGAGAGGAUGAUCAGUCACACUGGAACUGAGACACGGUCCAGACUCCUACGGGAGGCAGCAGUGGGGAAUAUUGGACAAUGGGCGAAAGCCUGAUCCAGCCAUGCCGCGUGUGUGAAGAAGGUCUUCGGAUUGUAAAGCACUUUAAGUUGGGAGGAAGGGUUGUAGAUUAAUACUCUGCAAUUUUGACGUUACCGACAGAAUAAGCACCGGCUAACUCUGUGCCAGCAGCCGCGGUAAUACAGAGGGUGCAAGCGUUAAUCGGAAUUACUGGGCGUAAAGCGCGCGUAGGUGGUUUGUUAAGUUGGAUGUGAAAUCCCCGGGCUCAACCUGGGAACUGCAUUCAAAACUGACUGACUAGAGUGUGGUAGAGGGUGGUGGAAUUUCCUGUGUAGCGGUGAAAUGCGUAGAUAUAGGAAGGAACACCAGUGGCGAAGGCGACCACCUGGACCAACACUGACACUGAGGUGCGAAAGCGUGGGGAGCAAACAGGAUUAGAUACCCUGGUAGUCCACGCCGUAAACGAUGUCAACUAGCCGUUGGGAGCCUUGAGCUCUUAGUGGCGCAGCUAACGCAUUAAGUUGACCGCCUGGGGAGUACGGCCGCAAGGUUAAAACUCAA
rnacentral:rRNA from 1 species